GGAGCGGAGGAUUUAGCCCAGCAGCCGCUGCAGCUUCGCCAGGUUUUACCGGAGGAUCUGCAAGACGUUUCUAAACCGUUUUCAUUUUCCGUCUCAGGGUUCUUUCCAGGGAGACAAAUGCCGAGGAACCGCCAGAAGAUGUUGUCCCUCUGUGAUGGAUGAGGUCUUAGACAGCACCAGAGGAGGGUGUACCACUGGUCCCACCAUGGAUCUGAGAUUCAAACAGCUGUCACUUCUGACCCAGGCAGUGUUUGACCUGCUGCUUUUGGCCACACUGGUUCUGCCAUCUCGUACAGAGAGUAUGCCCAGCUUCAUCAAAUCCCCUGACGAUCAGAUAGGGAUUUCUGGAGGAGUAGCAUCGUUUGUAUGCCAGGCAGUAGGUGAGCCCAAACCUCGUAUCACCUGGAUGAAGAAGGGGAAAAAAGUCAGCUCCCAGCGCUUUGAGGUAAUUGAAUUUGAUGAUGGCUCUGUCUCAGUGCUGCGUAUCCAGCCUUUGAGGACACAUCGUGAUGAAGCCAUCUAUGAGUGCACAGCCACCAACAGUGUGGGAGAGAUCAACACCAGUGCCAAGCUCACUGUCCUAGAGGAGGACCAGAUCCCUCAUGGCUUCCCCACCAUAGACAUGGGGCCGCAGCUUAGGGUUGUGGAGAGAACACGUACCGCCACAAUGCUGUGUGCAGCAAGCGGGAACCCUGACCCAGAUAUCUACUGGUUCAAAGAUUUUCUACCGGUGGACAUCAACAGCAGCAAUGGGCGCAUUAAACAGUUACGUUCAGGUGGUACACCGAUCAGAGGAGCGCUUCAGAUUGAAAGCAGCGAGGAAUCGGACCAGGGAAAGUACGAGUGUGUAGCAGUCAACAGUGCCGGGACUCGGUACUCAGCUCCAGCUAACCUCUAUGUUCGAGAUCAACGGGAAGUCCGUCGGGUGCCUCCCCGCUUCUCCAUCCCCCCCACCAGUCAUGAGGUGAUGCCUGGCGGCAGUGUUAACCUGACCUGUGUGGCGGUCGGUGCCCCCAUGCCGUAUGUUAAAUGGAUAAGUGGCGAGGUGGAGCUUACCCGCAAGGAGGAGAUGCCUGUUGGCCGGACCACCCUGGAGCUCACCAAAAUUCACCAGUCAGCCAACUACACCUGUAUGGCCAUAUCCUCUCUGGGCGUGAUCGAGACCACAGCCCAGAUCACUGUGAAAGCACUCCCAAAGGCACCCACGUCCCUGACUGUGACGGAAACCACGGCGACCAGUGUUACUCUGACCUGGGACUCUGGGAACCCAGAACCUGUGAACUACUAUGUCAUCCAGUAUCAUGCCAAACUGUCUGACAACAAAUUCCAGGAAGUAGAUGGCGUAGCCACCACUCGGUACAGCAUAGGUGGCCUUAGCCCAUUUUCUGAAUACGAGUUUCGAGUCAUGGCUGUCAACAGUGUUGGCCCGGGCCCUUCCAGCAGCAUUGUGGAAACCCGUACAAGUGAGCAAGCACCCACAUCACCUCCUCUUCACGUUCAGGCACGAAUGCUGAGCUCCAGCACCAUGCUGGUCCAGUGGGAACCUCCAGAAGAACCCAACGGCCAAAUUCGGGGAUAUCGGGUUUACUAUAGCAUGCAGCAUGACGACCCACUCAGUGCCUGGGACAAGCACAACACAGAUGACAGCCAGCUGACCACCAUCUCAGGACUAAUCACAGAUAUCACCUACAGUGUGAGAGUGCUGGCUUUCACCUCGGUGGGAGAUGGACCUCCCUCUGAGGUUCUGCAGAUCAAGACCCAGCAAGGAGUUCCAGCUCAGCCGUCAGAGUUUGAGGCAGAAGCCGAGCUGGACUCGCGUAUCAUGCUGUCAUGGCUUUGGCCAGUCCAGGAUACAAUCAUUAGCUUUGAACUGCUUUACGGGGAAGCCAACAAUCCCAUGGACAAGCGCCGCAUCACCUUCAAUCCAGCAGGCUCCUAUGCAGUGGAAGGGCUCAAGCCUGACACGCUCUACAAGUUCUCUCUGGCAGCACGGUCUGAGAUGGGCCUUGGAGUCUUCACACAGCCUAUUGAAGCCAGGACUGUACGGUCCAUGCCUGGAGCUCCUCCCAGGAAGGUGGAGGUAGACGCCCUCAACUCUACUGCUGUCAGGGUGACAUGGAAGCCGCCUCUGUUUGUGAAACAGCAUGGCCAAAUCAGAGGCUACCAGCUAAUCUACUCCAGGCUGGAGAAUGGGGAGCCCCACGGCUAUCCAGCCAUCUUGGACAUUUCUUUGCCUGAAACCCAGGAGGCUGUUGUAACAGACCUGCUCCCAGAGACGAGCUACUCCGUCAUCUUGGCUGCAUACACCACCAAAGGCGAUGGCGCUCGCAGCAAAGCGAAGGUGGUCACCACCACAGGAGCAGUGCCUGGCAAGCCCACUAUGAUGAUCAGUACCACCAUAGGAAACACUGCUCUAAUCCAGUGGCAGCCCCCUAAGGAGAUGGUGGGAGAGCACAUGGGAUACCAGCUGCAAUACAAGAGAGCAGAAGAAGAAGCUUUCACCAUCAGAGACUUCAGAAAGACAGAUGAUCAUUUCACGGUCACCGGCCUCCACAAAGGCGCGAGCUACAUCUUCAAACUGUGCACCAAAAACAGAGCAGGCAAUGGGAAGGAAUGUGUGAAGGAGAUCAGCACCCCAGAAGACAUUCCUGGAAGCUACCCUCAUAACCUCAGUGUGGUUGGCUUGACUGCCACAUCCACAAAGCUGUCCUGGGAUGCGCCACCACUGGCUGAGAGGAAUGGAAAGAUUGUCAAGUACAUGGUGGUGUUUCGUGACAUUAACAGCCAGCACAACAACACCAACACCACCACAGAAACUCAUAUGACCAUCCAAGGUUUGCAGCCUGACACAACCUAUGACUUCAAGGUUCAGGCUUUCACCAGCAAAGGGGGAGGACCCCUCAGCCCCAGCAUUCAGAGUAGGACUAUGUCUACCUCUGUGCCAGGUUUCACCAAGAACUUCGGUGUGAAAGCUGUAAUGAAAACCUCGGUCCUGCUGUUCUGGGAAGUGCCAGAAACCUACAGAUCUCAAGUCCCACUCAAGAUCCUGUACAACCAGCAGAGCGUGGAGGUUCCAGUCACCCUGAAGAGAAAGCUAAUCACACAGCUGCAACCAGAUACAGAUUAUUCCUUUGUUCUAAUGAGUCGGGGAAAUAACGCCGGAGGUCUUCAGCAGCAGGUUUCGAUCCGAACAGCUCCAGACCUAAUGAAGAUGAAACCAAUGCAAUACCAAUACAAUGUGGAGGAGUCUGGUAAAGUGACCGUCAGCCUGCCACUGGUGUCUGCAGGAAGCCUCGUCAGGUGUUACUACGUAGUGGUUGUGCCUGUCACCAAAUCCUCCCCUAAGAGGAUGGAGAACCCUGAAGACAUGGACAUAGAUGAGCUCCUGGAGCCUGACGACAGCCGUUCUAUAAGGCAGGACUUAUUGCAGCCCUACAUUGCUGCCAAGCUGGACACUCUGCCUGAGCUCUUCCACCUGGGAGAUGAGAAGCAAUACAACGGCUACUACAACAAACCCCUCCCUGGACAACAACAGUACCGCUGUUUUGUCUUGGCUGAGCUCAAGCAACAUGAAUCUCAGAGAACAUAUGCAGCCAGUCCAUUUUCUGAUAUCAUCAUGAUGAAGCUCCCCCACGGGAUAUCUCGUCAGACCGAGGAGCCAGAGAUGCUGUGGGUGAUGGGUCCAGUUCUGGCUGUUGUGCUUAUCAUCAUCAUAGUCAUUGCAAUUCUGCUCUUCAAGAGUAGCCAGGAACGGAAGCGAACGUGUCCGGCCAAGGAUGACCACAUGACGGGGGUCAAGGACUCACUGAUGGUCCAUUGCUCAGACCCGGUAGAGAUGAAGAGACUUAACUAUCAAACACAAGGGAUGAGGGAGCAUCCUCCCAUUGCUGCCUGUGGCUUGUCAGACCACAUUGAGAGACUCAAAGCCAAUGAUGGAUUUCGCUUCUCUCAGGAAUACGAGUCUAUAGAUCCAGGACAGCAGUUUACCUGGGAACACUCCAACAUGGAGGUUAACAAGUCAAAGAACCGCUAUGCAAACGUUGUUGCCUAUGACCACUCCAGGGUCCUCCUCACAUCUGUGGAUGGAGUUCCCGGUAGUGACUACAUCAACGCCAAUUACAUUGACGGCUACAGGAAGCAAAAUGCUUACAUUGCAACACAGGGGCCACUACCAGAGACAGUGGGAGACUUUUGGAGGAUGGUGUGGGAGCAGCAAACCUGCACCAUUGUCAUGAUGACACGUCUUGAGGAAAAGUCAAGAGUGAAGUGUGACCAGUACUGGCCGAGCCGAGGCACAGACACUUAUGGAAUGAUACAGGUGACCGUGCUGGACACAGUGGACCUGGCUACAUACAGCGUGCGCACAUUCACCCUUUAUAAGAAUGGCUCCAGUGAGAAGAGAGAGGUUCGACAGUUCCACUUCAUGGCCUGGCCUGACCAUGGGGUGCCUGAGUAUCCCACCCUAACCCUGGCUUUCCUACGUAGAGUCAAGGCCUGUAACCCUCCAGAUGCAGGACCCAUGGUGGUCCACUGCAGCGCUGGCGUGGGCCGGACAGGCUGCUUCAUUGUGAUCGCAUCCAUGCUGGAGAGGAUGAAACGCGAGAAGUCAGUGGACGUUUACGGUCAUGUGACGUGCAUGCGGGCUCAGAGGAACUACAUGGUGCAGACAGAGGAUCAAUACAUAUUCAUCCACGAGGCCCUACUGGAAGCUGCUGAAUGUGGCAGCACAGAGGUUCCUGCAUGCAACCUGUACUCCCACAUCCAGAAGCUCAGCCAGAUGCCGCCUGGGGAGACGGUCACAGCCAUGGAACUUGAGUUCAAGAAGCUGGCCAACUCCAAAGCACAUACCUCAAGAUUUAUCAGUGCCAACCUGCCAUGUAACAAAUUCAAGAAUCGCCUGGUGAACAUCAUGCCUUUUGAGUCCACACGGGUUUGCCUGCAGCCAAUCAGAGGAAUGGAGGGCUCAGAUUACAUCAACGCCAGCUUCAUGGAUGGAUACAGUUCCAGAUUUGUGCAUCGACUGUGACUCGGCUUACAGUAUGGUGUUGUGGAAAAAAAUACCACGAGAGCUUCUGACGACUCAAUGAAGAGAAGAAUUCAAAAAGUUAUCUUUGUGAAUUUAUUUCUUCAUAUGCACAUAGGGAAAAUUACUUUUUUUGCAAUGAACGAUUCAGAAAUACACUGCUUACAUGACUAAUCUGGUAAAUGACUAUUCUAGCUACAAAUGUCUGAUUUUUGCUGCAAUAUUUACUUAGGUGUAUAGAGGCCAAUUUCCAGCAACUGUUACUGCACUGUAGUAAUGGUACAAUGUGUCUGGUCAUUGCGUCAGAAGGCUCAGAUUAGUAGAUUACCUCAACAAAUUAACAUCCACAAUGCCAAAGGCCUGCAAUGCUGGGAUUGCUGCAAAUGGAGGGUUGUUUGACGAGAGCAAAGUUUGAGGAUUAAAAAAAGUAUUAUUUCAAUUUUAUUUGAAUUUUUAUUUUAUUUAUUUUAUUAUUUCAGUGUCUAAGCAAGUAGAAAAUUACAGCUGUUAUGAAUACAAUGUCCUUUAGUCAAACAUUCAGUCAACAUCCACAUGGAUAUUUUAUUUGUUUUAAUUAUACUGUAUUGUAUGUAUUACUGUAUUGUAAUGUUUGGCACUAAAUUUACUGGCGAUUUUUGACAACUGACAAAGACCAAAGCUUCCUCAGUCUGAGGGAAGUUCCAUAUUAUCCUCCAGUUUGGCUUCACUUCACACUCGCAGAGAACUGGCUCGUUACUUGAAGAAAAGACACAAAAGUGAGUAGGUGUGAUGAACCCUCCCCCAAGAAGAACACCAGACUGAAAGAGUUGACAUGACUCAACUUCCACACAACUUCACCUGAGCCAUGAAAACCGGAUAUAUUUGUAAACUGCUUAACAAGAAAAUUCUUCAUGGAUCCUAACUUUAAAGGUUCCACUCAAAUCAAGGCUCUGUUAACAUAAUGCUGUAUGAAGGAAUUUAGUUACUGUCAAUACAGUAGGUCUAAUUCAAGUGACACAAAAUACAGAGAUCUGCAUACAUAUGUGUUAUGAGUUAUGCCAGCUGAUAUUCUUUCAGUUCUGUGUCAUUUAAGUCACCUUUAACUGCCAAAUGUCACCUCAAUCGGCUGAUUGUGACUGCUCAAUAAUUUUCAAGUUAACUUACAGACUUUUCUUAAAGCAGAAACAUUACCAAAAGUUCAGGAACCUUCAGUCUGAGUAAAGUUAGGCACUAUCCUCUAUUUACAAUUGGCUUCACUUCACACCUGUAAAGAACUGGCUCACCGGUAAACAAAGGACUGUGAGAAGGUGUGAAGACCAUGCCCCACAUGAAGGACAUAUAAUGUAGAAGCUCCUUGAGAAACAUUUCUGCUCUAAAAGAAUGUAGUGACCCAACUUUCAGACAACUUGGUUUAGAAAAUAGUCAAAUAAACUGGACGUUUAUAAAAUCUGUAAAUAAACCUUGUUAAAAAGAAAGUGUUAAGUCUAUGGCUUUAGGAUAUAAACGUUUUCUUAUUUUAAACCACCAACUAACAAAAACAGUUUAUUUAAAAACUGUGGGUGAGAAGUUGUGUGCUUUAACCACUAGGCUCUUAAGUGAUGGAUGGAUGAAGUAGUUCACAAAUGUAUCUGGUUACAUCACAUCAGGUAACAGCACUGCAGGACUCUGGUGCUUUGGGGAGAAGGGGGUGGUGUGAAACCAGUCUAACUAAUGCUGUGGAUUAGUCGUUCUGUCUGAAAAGAGGCUCUCUAUUGUUAUGUUCAUCUAAGCUUGAUUAGAACAUUGAAAUGUUCUUUUUUUAAUUUAAAACAGCUCCUGAAGCAGGCAGACUGACACACACUACAUUCAAGUGAAUAUGAAUAAUUAAUAGAAUGAGAAUUUAAUAAUUUCAUUAGGUCCUUUUGUGAAGUCCAACUCAAACUUAUACAGCCAGUAACUGAUAAACCUUCAGAAGGUAGUUUGGCAGGUGUGGCAGCUUGAACUGCCGAUGCUUAUCUAUGAUUAAAAAAAAGUUAGUACAACAUUCAAUUCUGAAAUGAAGUCAACUUUUCAAGUUUUCUCAACUUUUUAGUUGACUGUUUAGAUAGACUAUUGUCUGUCUGUCUGUUUGUCUGUCUGCCCUAGCAAACAGUGUUGAACUGACAUUAUCAGAUCUAUGGCCUGUUCUCAGAACUGUGCCUAUACUUGCUGUUUGACCCUAACUCUACAGGUCAGAUACUAAAGCUCCACCUUUUGGUUUUACCCUGAAAUUGUGUAUUUGGUGCUAAAAUGGGGGUGGCCCUUAUUAACAUUUUUAACACCUUCCCCAGACAGACCAAGGAGGGGGGCUGCUGACAGUCGGCUCAUGAGGGUAUGAUAAGUGUGUGAUCUGCGUCAGAAAGGGGACUGACAGUCGACUGAAAUCAGCGAAAACGAACCGCUUCAUCUGUAGAGUCUCGGAUUCAAGGGUUUAAAGGUCCAUGCACAUGCAAAAUUCACUUUUUGGACAUUCUGGUACGUUUAUUUGACUCCCUGUGUCACAUUAAGACACUCCUGGUGUGUUAGAAGUACGCCCCCUACUUAUUUCACAUUUUUGAGAGUUUAUCCAAUACGGUUAAAGAACCAUUGUUUCAAAUUUGGCGGACUGGAUACGUGUGCAAUCGCUUUGACCAAUCACAGAACCAGCUUCGCCCCCCCCAGACAAACCUGGACCCCUAAAUGUACCUGAAACAUUUUGUUUCAGUCACUCCAGUCACAGACAAAAGAAGAAGUCACUCACUGCGAAGUCUACCAUAGGAGGUGGCGCUAAUGCACCUUUCAGUUGGUAGCCACCCGCCAUUUAAAAGACAAAAAGAAGAAGUCACUUAGAUUGAAGAAGCGCCCACUUGCUGCUUCCCCAAACGUAAGUACAUGCUUGAUUCUUAUUUGAUGUAUGUACUCCAGAAAUUUCUGUUUAUAAUAUAGCUUCCCUCCUGUGUAAGGAAUGCUGAUUGCUAGAACCGUUGAAUCUAACAGCUACAGCGACAGGGAGAGACAGUGUUGCAAGGUGCUGACACGCAAUUUGGAUGAGUCCAAGCCUCUCCAGCAUUUGUCCGGUUCGAAUCUUGUGAUAUAUGGUACUGAGGUCAUUCACUCAGCUCACAUUAUAGCUGCUAGCGCGAUAGUAGGGCAGCUUUAGCGGCUAGCGUUAGCGGCUAGCUCUAGUAAGUUGUGAGAGUCAGCUGUGUUUCUAAUUACUACCAAGCCUGUCGUGUGUAUGUUGUAGCCCAAGUAGACCCGUGAAUUUGGGUUAUUGCAAGUUCUAUCUAAGUCUAACAUGUGUGUUGUUGCUUAUCCAGUCAGCUACUUUAGCUGUAAACAUGUUGUGUUUUUUUAUACAGGUAGACGCAUGCCAGCUACCGAAACGCGAGGAGGUUGCUUCUCAAACUGACAGGCCACUGCAGGCUGUGGACACGCGGCUACCUUGUAGAAGAGUAGAAGAGUGCUCACCUCAGGAGCAAAGAGUGGUGUCAAGGAAAACAGCUGCAUCCUCCAUCUGUACAGCAGCUGCACUGCUUCCAAUGUCUUCCAACACGUGAAGACAAAAAAGAUCCUCACAUCUCCCCAGGCAACUGCCCAUGACUGUACCUGUUCCACUCCAGAAACUAUGCUUUCAACAUAAGUAUGAAUCCUACCCAUUCAUUUUGUGGUCUGCAAAUUGAACUGUGACGGUAACUUAUCCAGCAUUAUAGUGCUGGUGCAUUGGUUAAAAAUAAAGUUGGCUUUGACUAA